UAAUAUAUGCAAGCAAGGAUCAGCGUCAGGAUUUAAAGCCUUCAGCAAUUACAACAAUAACCCAUAUUUAAAUUGUUGUCCAAAAUUUCUACAACCAUGACUUCUUCCUAAAACCUAUGCAGUAUGAUGUGCUUGACAGGGGAUGAGCAUAAACUAUGCUACACGUGAGACAUGUGGAAAUGGCCUGGCAGAAUGCAUAUGCCAUUUCGCUUACAGAUUUGGAACUUAAUAUAUAUAAGUUCAUUAUUACAUAGGAACCUCGGAUUCUACAUUGGCUUUAGAGAUUUUACAUCUGGAAAAAGACUGCUGAUAGAAAUCCGAUACUGUUGGUUUUCUCAUUCAUCUUGGACUUCUCUAGUGCUGUCACCGUAGAUGAGUUGCCCUGCUUUCCCAGUUGCACUGAAGAAGAACCAUUAGGCAAAAUAUUAAAAGGUGAUACCAUAUUGUGUAUGCCCCUAUUGAUAUGUUUUAAAAUGCUGAUGCAUGAGUAGAACUCUCUGGAAUUUGUUAUCAAGCUGGGAAGGUUUCAAAAAAAGUUGCAUACAGGUAACAGCUCAUUAAUCAUGUCAGUAUGCUGGCCCAAAGUACCUCGCAUUGAUACAUACCAAAUAAUUGCCUCUACAUCUGAACUAAAAAAAAAAAAAAAAAAAAAAAAAAACUGGUUUCUAACAAUUCACUAGCGAAAUGAUAUCAUUGUCAAACCCACCCUAUAUGUAAAAUCGUCGAUGUAUA